CACGUAGGGCGCAAGCGUUGUCCGGAAUUAUUGGGCGUAAAGAGCUCGUAGGCGGUCUGUUGCGUCCGCUGUGAAAACUCGGGGCUUAACCCCGAGCCUGCAGUGGAUACGGGCAGACUAGAGGUAGGUAGGGGAGAAUGGAAUUCCCGGUGUAGCGGUGAAAUGCGCAGAUAUCGGGAGGAACACCGGUGGCGAAGGCGGUUCUCUGGGCCUUACCUGACGCUGAGGAGCGAAAGC
rnacentral:rRNA from 1 species